ACUUGGGACGAGAUGGUUUGAACCGAUAUAGCUACCUAAUGAGUCAUAAUUUAAUAGGUGCAAAUUAACCUAUAGACAAAUUUCUGAAUCCGAAUGAUGUUAAUAUUUAAUUUAAGAUAUGUCAAAAAAGAAUAUCCCCACCAUUCACUCAGAUUCCAGAGCUCCAAUCAUGAGUUGAUGACCAUGAAGAGAUGAAGGGGGGAAAUGGAAAAACAAUUACUUAGGAAGCCCAACAAUAGUCUUUCAGAACAAAUCAUCCUAUAGUUACAGUUGGCCACACAACUAUAGCAACUUAUCUCCUUUCUAAUUGGUUUAUCUAUUUCAAAUCCCACUACAACAGUAUGAAUUAAAUAAAGAUUUUAAGCAAGGGAAGCAAUAUACAUUGGAGUGGUUUGGUAGUCGGAUUAAAUUAUGCAGGUGCAAGCAUGUACUAUCAUCGUAUCACACCUAAUACUUUGCUAUUGUAGUCUAUGCCAUCUGGAGGGAAAGGAAUGACAUACGAUUUCAAACAUCUUCCUUCCAAUGUGAAAGAAUAUGCAAGGAGAUUGGACUCCACAUCCAUGUGAGUGGUAGAGACCUGAAGAGAUGGAUUGAAGCACUGCAGAAGCUGAACAAUAUGCCCUGAUUUACAUGCUUCAUUUGGAGGAGGCUACUGAUGCUUCUAUAUUGAUUAUUUUUCUAGCUAGUGUAUAAAUUGUCAAGUCUUUCCAUUCUCCAGUUUAUCUAGGAGAAUGUAGUUGGAACAUGAGAAAGUAAGUGGUCAUCUCUUUCUUCGUUUUGUAGUGUGCACUUUUUUGGGUAUUAAUAAAAUGAUAGUUCAACCCAAAAAAUAAUAUCUAAGCUUAUGUUGGGUUGUCGAAGACGGGCGUUUUUAGGGAGUUUUCUCGGGUUCACCUGAAUUCAAGUUCUUCUUUUGAGAUUAUAUUAUAUUUUUUUAAAAUAUUUAAAUAUA